rnacentral:lncRNA from 1 species
AUAUUGCCAUGGUUCCAUCUGUGUCAUUUAUUUAUGAUAUGCACAUAGACUAAAGGUGAGCAACACAGGCUCUUUAGACAGCAACCAUUUGGUUUUCUGGGGCGGGGGCUAUGAAAUUUUUUUACUGGACUAACUUUUUUUUGUGCCUUCAGCGAAAAACAAUCUAUUUUCUUUUUGACAAGUGGAAAACAAUUUUUUUCUUACAAUUUUUUUCUUUCAAUUUUAGCAUUACAUAUAGUGGCAGCUAAAAACUCCCCCCCCCCCCCCCCUGAAAAUCAAAAUGGUUACUGCCUUAGAGCUUAGAGCCUCUACUUUUAUUUGGAAAAAAUUAAUCAGGUUCAGGGCUUAUAUUUAUAAUAAUUAAUGAAAUUAAAUUUUCAGAAUUAUACACACUUGUAGUUCCCAAGAUGUAAGUGGAAGUGAAGUUAUACAAUGAAAUGAAUGAAUUGAUUAGAUAUACAUGUAGAUGAGACCCUAUAGCUACAGUACAUGUAAUUGGUAUGUAUUUGUUACAGUAUUUGUAGUGGUAUGACAAUAAUGCUUAAUCAUGUGCAAAUUUAAAAAGGAGUUCAUUCAAACUAAUGAAAUAAAAAAAAACACUAUCAAUCAACAGAUCAAGGGAAAAGUUAAUCUGCUAUAUUCAUGUAUGGAAUAGGCAUGUAGUUACAUUUAUUUACCUCUGUAAUUUUUAGUCCAUGUGUAAAUUUAUGAGAUUAAAAUUUUAUAUUCUGGAUAUCCUAAGAUUUCAAUUCUUAUUUCAUAUUAAUAUUAUUCCCAUGUGCUAAUUUAUGCUUGUAGUUUGAGGAAAAUUAUCAAAAUAGCUCGACUAAAAUCAAACAAUUACUGAUAUCAUGAACUAGGUAAUUUUUGCCUUGUCUGAAACUGAUUGUAUGGUGUACAAUACUGUCUGGGCAGGGUUCAUUGGUCUAUAUAAAGUGUCAUAUUUUGGUCUGUUUAUUGUAUACUACACAAGCAAGCUAUAAUCAAUUAAGAAAUCAGCUGUUUUUGGUGUAAGCUAUGAUUGUAAGGGGCUAAGACAUGUAAGAAGGGGGCUUGAAAAUGAUGAGUUGUGUUUUUAUAGGCACUAAGUAUACUUAUAUAUAUACAGGUUAUAUGUAGUACACAUACAAUGUACAUGAAGACAGUUUGUUUUCAUAAGUAAUUUAUAAUAAAUUAUAAAACAUGUAACGUGGUCACGAUUUCCAAUGAGACAACUAUCCACUAGAGUCCAAAUGACUGAAUACUGCCAACUAUAAAUGAUCAUAUGUACAGCUUUCAACAAUGAGCAAAACUGAUACAGCAUAGUGAGCUAUAAAAUGUCCUGAAACAGGGUUAUAAUUAUUAUUGGCAAUUCAAAAACCUGGGUUUAUGAGUAUUGCAAUGCCCAGCCCAGUGGGAAAUACUAGUAAAAAACCUAGGUCUGGGUUUUACUAAAAAUCACCAUAAAGUCACCAAUUGAUCAUGUCAGAGCUCGAGCUUAAAAUAUAAUACAGUUUUCUCCUAAUUAUAAGUUUGGUAAAUCAUUGGAGAUUAAAUUGAUGUAAUCUUUUUUGCUUGAACCUUGACUACAGAAACAAACAUUACAUGUGGAUUUUAUUAUAUUACAGGAACUGUAGGAAGUUUUCCAAGAGUCUGAUUGCUAAGUAUGCAUUACAGGAUUUUAUCAUUGGAGCAACAUCUUAGGAGGAUAAACUUGUGCAAACGUAUGAAGGAAUCCUUGAAAUAUACAAAUAGCAAUUAUAUGCAGAAGAGGACUCUUAUAAACAUUAUAAACAGACAUGAAGUAAUAGUAGUGGUGUAUUCAAGAAGUGUAAACCACCUGGAAUAAACUAUUGUGUAUAUUUUUUCAACCACAAGUACUUUCAGAAUAUAGUACAGUUCAAAUUCAAAUUAUUGUGUCAACAGACAAGUUAUGUUAAAAAAAAUGAAAAUGCAUGUUGUUUUAAAAUGAAAUUUGUAUAUAUAAAAAAAAACGAAAUAACAAAAUUUUGUAGCUUAUUGCAUAUUGUGCAGCCAAAAUUUGAAAUCCUUUAAUGGUAUUAUGCUUGUUGUUUUGUCAACAUUUUCCCUAAAUCUUAAGAUCAGUGUUAAAAUGAGAAAAAACUAUUUUUGCAUAUAUGAAAGAAGAAGUAAAUGGUUGUAAAUUACAGAGAGACUUUCAAUCUGGUACAUUUGUAUAUCAUCUUUAUUUCACAGAACUUUCUAUUUUAGUGUAUUAGUACAAUGAGAUAUGAGGUAUACACCAAUCAGACAGCAACAUUAGCAAUAAAACAACAAAAACACAUGAAAGGCAUUUAGGCGCUAACAUGCAGUCCUCAACAAAAGACAGGUGUAUAAAAGAUAUGCCAUGAUCUAUUUAAUUGAUCAGAGGCUAUAAACAAUUACAAUAUGAAUCAAGAAUAGCCAUCAACUGAACACUGAAUUCUUUGAAUAUUUUUUUUAAUUAAGAUGAAAUUUUGGACAAUCACUGAAAAGGUUUCUGGCUUUAAACGGGUACAUGAAUAUGUGGCGAGGUAAACUACUGUAGUUCUUUUCUCCAAAACCUUCUUAAAAAAUUAAGAAUUGGCAUCUUUUGCAAGUAGGUAUUUUUCAUAAUGUGAUUGGUUUGUGUUUAAAUUGAUGACCACACAAUAUAACUUGUACAUACAUAAUAAAAAUCAAUUCAGAUGAAAUAUACAUCAUUGCAAACAUCUUCUAUAGUCAGUCAAUAAAUCAUUUACAAAAAAGGAUUGAGACUUGAACUCAAUCCANGCAACACAGGCUCUUUAGACAGCAACCAUUGGUUUUCUGGGGGGGGGGGGGGGGGCUAUGAAUUUUUUUUACUGGACUAACUUUUUUUUGUGCCUUCAGCAAGUGGACAACAAUUUUUUUCUAACAAUUUUUUUCUUUCAAUUUUAGCAUUACAUAUAGUGGCAGCUAAAAAUCCCCCCCUGAAAAUCAAAAUGGUUACUGCCUUAGAGCUUAGAGCCUCUACUUUUAUUUGGAAAAAAUUAAUCAGGUUCAGGGCUUAUAUUUAUAAUAAUUAAUGGAAAUUAAAUUUUCAGAAUUAUACACACUUGUAGUUCCCAAGAUGUAAGUGGAAGUGAAGUUAUACAAUGAAAUGAAUGAAUUGAUUAGAAUACAUGUAGAUGAGACCCUAUAGCUACAGUACAUGUAAUUGGUAUGUAUUUGUUACAGUAUUUGUAGUCAGUGGUAUGACAAUAAAUGCUAUAAUCAUGUGCAAAUUUAAAAAGGAGUUCAUUCAAACAGAUGAAAAAUAAAAAAAAACACUAUCAAUCAACAGAUCAAGGGAAAAGUUAAUCUGCUAUAUACAUGUAUGGAAUAGGCAUGUAGUUACAUUUAUUUACCUCUGUAAUUUUUAGUCCAUGUGUAAAUUUAUGAGAUUAAAAUUUUAUAUUCUGGAUAUCCUAAGAUUUCAAUUCUUAUUUCAUAUUAAUAUUAUUCCCAUGUGCUAAUUUAUGCUUGUAGUUUGAGGAAAAUUAUCAAAAUAGCUCGACUAAAAUCAAACAAUUACUGAUAUCAUGAACUAGGUAAUUUUUGCCUUGUCUGAAACUGAUUGUAUGGUGUACAAUACUGUCUGGGCAGGGUUCAUUGGUCUAUAUAAAGUGUCAUAUUUUGGUCUGUUUAUUGUAUACUACACAAGCUAUAAUCAAUUAAGAAAUCAGCUGUUUUUGGUGUAAGCUAUGAUUGUAAGGGGCUAAGACAUGUAAGAAGGGGGCUUGAAAAUGAUGAGUUGUGUUUUUUUUAUAGGCACUAAGUAUACUUAUAUAUAUACAGGUUAUAUGUAGUACACAUACAAUGUACAUGAAGACAGUUUGUUUUCAUAAGUAAUUUAUAAUAAAUUAUAAAACAUGUAACAUGGUCACGAUUUCCAAUGAGACAACUAUCCACUAGAGUCCAAAUGACUGAAUACUGCCAACUAUAAAUGAUCAUAUGUACAGCUUUCAACAAUGAGCAAAACUGAUACAGCAUAGUGAGCUAUAAAAUGUCCUGAAACAGGGUUAUAAGUAUUAUUAUUGGCAAUUCAAAAACCUGGGUUUUAUGAGUAUUGCAAUGCCCAUCCCAGUGGGAAAUACUAGUAAAAAACCUAGGUCUGGGUUUUACUAAAAAUCACCAUAAAGUCACCAAUUGAUCAUGUCGGAGCUCGAGCUUAAAAUAUAAUACAGUUUUCUCCUAAUUAUGAGUUUGGUAAAUCAUUGGAGAUUAAAUUGAUGUAAUCUUUUUUGCUUGAACCUUGACUACAGAAACAAACAUUACAUGUGGAUUUUAUUAUAUUACAGGAACUGUAGGAAGUUUUCCAAGAGUCUGAUUGCUAAGUAUGCAUUACAGGAUUUUAUCAUUGGAGCAACAUCUUAGGAGGAUAAACUUGUGCAAACGUAUGAAGGAAUCCUUGAAAUAUACAAAUAGCAAUUAUAUGCAGAAGAGGACUCUUAAACAUUAUAAACAGACAUGAAGUAAUAGUAGUGGUGUAUUCAAGAAGUGUAAACCACCUGGAAUAAACUAUUGUGUAUAUUUUUUCAACCACAAGUACUUUCAGAAUAUAGUACAAUUCAAAUUCAAAUUAUUGUGUCAACAGA